GGGAAUCCUUUUCUUCAACUAUCAUCCGCAUUAUGGACAUUACAACAAAAUAACUACUCGGAAGUUACUUCCCCGAGUUCACUACACGCACUUCGAAGAUGUAUAAAUUCCGAUCGACCUUUGCAUCUUCACCAGUCGAGUUCCUCACAUAUCGCGGAUUUCGUAAAUUAGACAUGAAGAUUUCCGUAAUUUUUGUAUGCGCAUUGUUUCUCUUGUCUGUUUUUGUAAACAAUGCAGAUGCGAGGUGGAAAGGUUGGAAAAAACUUGAAAAAGCAGGAAAACGGGUACUGAAGGCCGCAGAAAAAGUUUUACCGGUUGUUCAAGGCUACGCCGGAAUCGCAGCAGUUGUUGGGAAAAAAUGAUGGAUAUUAUAAUAUCUAGCGAAUGUACAAAUUAUAUUUAUUUUUUAUUUAUUGUACCUUAGUAGCUGAUUUUUUGUUAGUAAAGCAUAAUAACAAUAUAUUUAAUGUUUGAUUAUUAA